UCAGCCCGAUCAGUCAUCGGUCCUGUUUAACAGCUUUUAUGCCCAGUAAUGUGUCAUCUUUCUUUCACUGGACUGAAGAGCACAUUUCUGUUUCACUCUACCAAAUGCAAAGAUGAACUUUAGCUGUCGUCGGCUCACACUUGGGGUGAAAUAGUAUCUCUAAACGUGUCCUUGAGCAAGACGUGGCGCCCGUCUGGAGCACGUGCAGCAAAUGACAAAAUGCAUUACCGUAUCGCUUCAAAGGCACCGGUGAACGCAGCCGGCCUUCGUAUUCUGCUGCGUGAGGGUGACACCGUCGAAGGGACGACCUUUGAUGGAGCCUGGAGGAGCAGCGGAUGCCCUGUUUAGUCCGGGUCGUUUGCCGAGGCGUCUCCAGCUCUUCCUCCUCUCUCUUCAUCAUGUCUCUAAACCAAUCAGCAUCGCUGGCCUCACCGUGACGAAGGAAGUUGCGCUCGGCGUCUCCUUCAGGAGUUUUUGAGUUUUCUUUACUUCAGCGGGUCUCGGUGCAGCGCCGCCACAGCAAAUAUUUCCUUCAAUCUCUGGAUCACUGUGGUGCAGCAAAGGCAUUCCUGGAAUGUAAAACUUUACCACCAGCGGUCAGUAUUUAGGAGGAUGCUGACCUGGUUGAUCCAAACAUGUCGGGAGCAAAGAGACGGGAUUGAAAACACGAGGAAUGUUUUGUCCUGCUUAUUAUCUGAUUGCCUCUCAAUAUGCCUUUGAGUCCUCAAAUUUUCUUUCAAUUAAUUCUUUAUUCGCUGUAAAUAAAAAUAAUGGAUGUGUGAAACUGUAAAGGCGAAUUAUCUAAUGUAAAACACAAUCACUGAAAACAUCGAAAGAUGGUGGGACAGGGUGACUUUUAUCAUCCGUCUAGUGACUGAGGGUGAAAAAUAGCCUUCAGGCUCA